GAUGAACGCUAGCGGCAGGCCUAACACAUGCAAGUCGAGGGGUAGAAGGAGCUUGCUCCUUUGAGACCGGCGCACGGGUGCGUAACGCGUAUGCAAUCUACCUUGUACAGGGGAAUAGCCCAGAGAAAUUUGGAUUAAUGCCCCAUAGUAUAUAACCUUCGCAUGUUGGUUAUAUUAAAGUUCCAACGGUACAAGAUGAGCAUGCGUCCCAUUAGUUAGUUGGUAAGGUAAGGGCUUACCAAGACGAUGAUGGGUAGGGGUCAUGAGAGGGAGAUCCCCCACGAUGGAACUGCGGCACGGACCAGAAUCCUACGGGAGGCAGCAGUGAGGAAUACUGGGCAAUGGUCGCAAGACUGAACCAGCCAUGCCGCGUGCAGGAAGACGGUCCUAUGGAUUGUAAACUGCUUUUAUACAGGAAGAAACCCUCCCACGUGUGGGAGCUUGACGGUACUGUAGGAAUAAGGAUCGGCUAACUACGUG
rnacentral:rRNA from 1 species